rnacentral:rRNA from 1 species
AGUGAACGCUGGCGGUAGGCCUAACACAUGCAAGUCGAACGGCAGCACGGGGCAACCUGGUGGCGAGUGGCGAACGGGUGAGUAAUGCAUCGGAACGUACCUUUCAGUGGGGGAUAACGUAGCGAAAGUUACGCUAAUACCGCAUCUUCUGUGAGCAGGAAAGCAGGGGAUCGCAAGACCUUGCGCUGAUUGAGCGGCCGGUGUCAGAUUAGCUAGUUGGUGAGGGAAAGGCUCACCAAGGCGACGAUCUGUAGCGGGUCUGAGAGGAUGAUCCGCCACACUGGAACUGAGACACGGGCCAGACUCCUACGGGAGGCAGCAGUGGGGAAUUUUGGACAAUGGGGGCAACCCUGAUCCAGCCAUGCCGCGUGAGUGAAGAAGGCCUUCGGGUUGUAAAGCUCUUUCGGCCGGGAAGAAAUCGCACGGGCUAAUACCCUGUGUGGAUGACGGUACCGGAAUAAGAAGCACCGGCUAACUACGUGCCAGCCGCCGCAGUAA